rnacentral:rRNA from 1 species
CCUACGGGUGGCAGCAGUGGGGAAUAUUGCACAAUGGGGGAAACCCUGAUGCAGCGACGCCGCGUGAGUGAAGAAGUAUUUCGGUAUGUAAAGCUCUAUCAGCAGGAACGAGACAAGACGGUACCUGACUAAGAAGCCCCGGCUAACUACGGGCCAGCAGCCGCGGGAAUACGUAGGGGGCAAGCGUUAUCCGGAAUCACUGGGUGUAAAGGGAGCGUAGACGGCUGAGCAAGCCUGAAGUGAAAGGCGGGGGCCCAACCCCUGGACUGCUUUGGGAACUGUACGGCUGGAGUGCAGGAGAGGCAAGUGGAAUUCCUGGUGUAGCGGUGAAAUGCGUAGAUAUUAGGAGGAACACCAGUGGCGAAGGCGGCUUACUGGACUGUAACUGACGUUGAGGCUCGAAAGCGUGGGGAGCAAACAGGAUUAGAUACCCCGGUAGUC